CCUUGACAUACUAAGAACUUUCCAGAGAUGGAUUGGUGCCUUCGGGAACUUAGAUACAGGUGCUGCAUGGCUGUCGUCAGCUCGUGUCGUGAGAUGUUGGGUUAAGUCCCGCAACGAGCGCGAACCCUUUUCCUUAUUUGCCAGCGGGUCAUGCCGGGAACUUUAAGGAUACUGCCAGUGACAAACUGGAGGAAGGCGGGGACGACGUCAAGUCAUCAUGGCCCUUACGGCCAGGGCUACACACGUGCUACAAUGGUCGGUACAAAGGGUUGCUACCUCGCGAGAGGAUGCUAAUCUCAAAAAGCCGAUCGUAGUCCGGAUCGCAGUCUGCAACUCGACUGCGUGAAGUCGGAAUCGCUAGUAAUCGCGGAUCAGAAUGCCGCGGUGAAUACGUUCCCGGGCCUUGUACACACCGCCCGUCACACCAUGGGAGUUUGUUGCACCAGAAGUAGGUAGUCUAACCGCAAGGAGGACGCUUACCACGGUGUGGCCGAUGACUGGGGUGAAGUCGUAACAAGGUAAGCGUAGAUGA
rnacentral:rRNA from 1 species